AAUAGAUACCCGGGUAGUCCACGCCGUAAACGAUGAGUGCUAAGUGUUAGAGGGUUUCCGCCCUUUAGUGCUGAAGUUAACGCAUUAAGCACUCCGCCUGGGGAGUACGGCCGCAAGGCUGAAACUCAAAGGAAUUGACGGGGGCCCGCACAAGCGGUGGAGCAUGUGGUUUAAUUCGAAGCAACGCGAAGAACCUUACCAGGUCUUGACAUCCUCUGACAACCCUAGAGAUAGGGCUUCUCCUUCGGGAGCAGAGUGACAGGUGGUGCAUGGUUGUCGUCAGCUCGUGUCGUGAGAUGUUGGGUUAAGUCCCGCAACGAGCGCAACCCUUGAUCUUAGUUGCCAUCAUUAAGUUGGGCACUCUAAGGUGACUGCCGGUGACAAACCGGAGGAAGGUGGGGAUGACGUCAAAUCAUCAUGCCCCUUAUGACCUGGGCUACACACGUGCUACAAUGGACGUACAAAGAGCUGCAAGACCACGAGGUGGAGCUAAUCUCAUAAAACCCGUUCUCAGUUCGGA
rnacentral:rRNA from 1 species